GAUGAAGAACGUAGCGAAAUGCGAUACGUAAUGUGAAUUGCAAAUUCAGUGAAUCAUCGAGUCUUUGAACGCACAUUGCGCACCCUGGUAUUCCGGGGGGCAUGCCUGUCCGAGCGUCAUUGCUGCCCUCAAGCACGGCUUGUGUGUUGGGCCCCGUCCUCCGAUCCCGGGGGACGGGCCCGAAAGGCAGCGGCGGCACCGCGUCCGGUCCUCGAGCGUAUGGGGCUUUGUCACCCGCUCUGUAGGCCCGGCCGGCGCUUGCCGAUCAACCCAAAUUUUUAUCCAGGUUGACCUCGGAUCAGGUAGGGAUACCCGCUGAACUUAAGCAUAUCAAUAAGCGGAGGA
rnacentral:misc_RNA from 1 species